CAGGAAUUGGUGUAAUGGUUAGUGCUACAGCCUCUGCAGUUGUAGAUGGAAGGUUCAAAUCCCCCAUUGCUGG
rnacentral:tRNA from 1 species